UUUGACCUCAAAUCAGGUAGGACUACCCGCUGAACUUAAGCAUAUCAAUAAGCGGAGGAAAAGAAACCAACAGGGAUUGCCUCAGUAGCGGCGAGUGAAGCGGCAAAAGCUCAAAUUUGAAAUCUGGCGUCUUUGGCGUCCGAGUUGUAAUUUGAAGAAGGUAUCUUUGGGCCCGGCUCUUGUCUAUGUUCCUUGGAACAGGA
rnacentral:rRNA from 1 species